rnacentral:rRNA from 1 species
CCUACGGGGGGCAGCAGUGAGGAAUAUUGGUCAAUGGGCGCGAGCCUGAACCAGCCAAGUCGCGUGAGGGAAGACGGUCCUAUGGAUUGUAAACCUCUUUUGUCGGGGAGCAAAAGACGCCACGCGUGGCGUUCCGAGAGUACCCGAAGAAAAAGCAUCGGCUAACUCCGUGCCAGCAGCCGCGGUAAGACGGAGGAUGCGAGCGUUCUCCGGAUUUAUUGGGUUUAAAGGGUGCGCAGGCGGAAGAUCAAGUCAGCGGUAAAAUUGAGAGGCUCAACCUCUUCGAGCCGUUGAAACUGGUUGUCUUGAGUGAGCGAGAAGUAUGCGGAAUGCGUGGGGUAGCGGUGAAAUGCAUAGAUAUCACGCAGAACUCCGAUUGCGAGGGCAGCAUACCGGCGCUCAACUGACGCUCAUGCACGAAAGUGUGGGUAUCGAACAGGAUUAGAUACCCGGGUAGUC